AUUGAACGCUGGCGGCAUGCUUUACACAUGCAAGUCGAACGGUAACAGGCCGCAAGGUGCUGACGAGUGGCGAACGGGUGAGUAAUGCAUCGGAACGUGCCCAGUCGUAGGGGAUAACUACUCGAAAGAGUAGCUAAUACCGCAUACGAUCUAUGGAUGAAAGCGGGGGACCGUAAGGCCUCGCGCGAUUGGAGCGGCCGAUGUCAGAUUAGGUAGUUGGUGGGGUAAAGGCUCACCAAGCCAACGAUCUGUAGCUGGUCUGAGAGGACGACCAGCCACACUGGGACUGAGACACGGCCCAGACUCCUACGGGAGGCAGCAGUGGGGAAUUUUGGACAAUGGGCGCAAGCCUGAUCCAGCAAUGCCGCGUGCAGGAAGAAGGCCUUCGGGUUGUAAACUGCUUUUGUACGGAACGAAACGGCUCUGGUUAAUACCCGGGGCUAAUGACGGUACCGUAAGAAUAAACACCGGCUAACUACGU
rnacentral:rRNA from 1 species